rfam:Arabidopsis thaliana chromosome 2, complete sequence.
AGGUGAAGUAUGAGGGCAUUGAGUAGUGUAUCCCUUGUAGUGUUCCCAUACUUCAGAGAAGGAUUCAGAUUGCUUCUGUGUGAAACCCGAGAUCUCAUUCCUCAAUCU